rnacentral:rRNA from 1 species
UACGUAGGGUGCGAGCGUUGUCCGGAAUUAUUGGGCGUAAAGAGCUCGUAGGCGGUGUGUCACGUCGUUCGUGAAAACCUGCAGCUUAACUGUGGGCGUGCGGUCGAUACGGGCAUCACUGGAGUUCGGCAGGGGAGACUGGAAUUCCUGGUGUAGCGGUGAAAUGCGCAGAUAUCAGGAGGAACACCGGUGGCGAAGGCGGGUCUCUGGGCCGGUACUGACGCUGAGACGCGAAAGCGUGGGGAGCGAACAGG